ensembl:lncRNA
GGAGAGGAGAGGGGCUGGAGACAGGAGGAGAGGAGAGGGGCUGGAGACAGGAGGAGAGGAGAGGGGCUGGAGACAGGAGGAGAGGAGAGUGGCUGGAGACAGGAGGAGAGGAGAGUGGCUGGAGACAGGAGGAGAGGAGAAGUGGCUGGAGACAGGAGGAGAGGAGAGGGGCUGGAGACAGGAGGAGAGGAGAAGGGCCGGAGCUAGCAGAAGAGGAGCUGGAGACAGGAGGAGAGGACUGGGGCUAGAGACCAGAGGAGAGGGGGCUGCAGUGUGGAGCCCAGCCCAGGGGUGGCCAGGAGAUGGACAAUUGGACCUACUAUAACUGACCAGGGUGUUGCCAUGGAGACAGGUCGGAACAGAGGGCAGAUUCAUUGCAAGACUCUUAUUGGUUGUUAGUUAUUUGUUUUCUAUUCUGUUAAGUGUUGACACCACAUGAACUAUUUAAAGACUUUAAUGUAUGAUGAUGUGAAGGACUUACCUGCAGAAGCUCUCUGUAUCCCCCCUCUCUCUGACUAAACUUCUUAACUAUCAUUAUAAACACAUUACCAUCACAAUAGGAAGAAGGGUUUGACUAAACGGCUGAACAGCUUUUACCCAGGUCUUUUGGGCCUUCAUUGUGACCACACGACUUAGAUAUUUGUUACUGUCUGUAUUCUGUUGUUGAGCCAGACCAAAGGGGGCCAACCAAGUCGUUAGUCUGCCAAGACCUGGCCUGUGUCCCAAAUUGGUCCUGGUCUAAAGUAGUGCACUACAAAGGGAAUAGGGUUCCAUUGGGGACAUAGACCUGUUCAUAAUUUUAACUUUCUGUUGCCAAGUAUGUUGAUCCAUUAACUGAAAGCUUGGUGACCUGUUUUACCAAACUCUCGCUUUGGCCAGAUUCCACCCCAAAGUCUGUCGUUGUCAAACACGACUGAUCAUAAAGUGUGUACAUUCCAGAUGUUUUAAUGUCAGACAUUCAGGUUAACACACUCUGUCCUGGACAAAGAUCGAGAGACACUCCCUUGCCUAUGGUCAAUCUACAGUUAUGGUCUAUAGAUGGCCUGAAUUGCUUACAGGAGGUGUAUUGAUGGCAUUAAUGCAAUUGAUGGGCAACUCUAAUACAGCUGACCUGAGUGAUAUCACCUCUAAUACAGCUGAC